rnacentral:misc_RNA from 1 species
AGUCGUAACAAGGUUUCCGUAGGUGAACCUGCGGAAGGAUCAUUAACGUGCAUUUUGCAAAAACAAAAUCGACUGUGGACAUUUUGAAAAAAUGUUUUUUUUAUUUUCCUUCAGAGAGUCUUUUUUGAAGGAAAUUAAAAAACCAACAUUAACCAAAAUCAAAACCAUAUUCUUACUAAAAACCAAAAAAACUUUACUUGUGAAAGUUUUAACAAAAAUCUGACGACUUUUAACGGUGGAUCUCUUGGCUCGU